rnacentral:rRNA from 1 species
AGGACGAACGCUGGCGGCGUGCUUAACACAUGCAAGUCGAGCGGUAAGGCCCUUUCGGGGGUACACGAGCGGCGAACGGGUGAGUAACACGUGGGUGACCUGCCCUUAGCUCUGGGAUAAGCCUGGGAAACUGGGUCUAAUACCGGAUAUGACUCCACGGUGCAUGUCGUGGGGUGGAAAGCCUUGUGCGGCUGAGGAUGGGCCCGCGGCCUAUCAGCUUGUUGGUGGGUGAUGGCCUACCAAGGCGACGACGGGUAGCCGGCCUGAGAGGGCGACCGGCCACACUGGGACUGAGACACGGCCCAGACUCCUACGGGAGGCAGCAGUGGGGAAUCUUGCGCAAUGGGCGAAAGCCUGACGCAGCGACGCCGCGUGAGGGAUGACGGCCUUCGGGUUGUAACCUCUUUCAGCUCCGACGAAGCGAAAGUGACGGUAGGAGCAGAGAAGCACCGGCCAACUACGCGCCAGCAGCCGC